rnacentral:rRNA from 1 species
UACGUAGGGUGCAAGCGUUAAUCGGAAUUACUGGGCGUAAAGCGUGCGCAGGCGGUUGUGCAAGACAGGUGUGAAAUCCCCGGGCUUAACCUGGGAACUGCACUUGUGACUGCACGGCUGGAGUACGGCAGAGGGGAUGGAAUUCCGCGUGUAGCAGUGAAAUGCGUAGAUAUGCGGAGGAACACCGAUGCGAAGGCAGUCCCUGGCCUGUACUGACGCUCA